rnacentral:lncRNA from 1 species
CCGGAUCGAACUACGUAGUGACGUAUUUUAUAUAAGUUAUAUAUUCUAUCGAUAUGAAUUCUGAGGUUGGAAUUGAUUAUUGUUUUAGGCGCCGAUCGUCAUGACGCCUUGGCGUAUUGUGCUAGGGAGUUGUAGGGCGAACUCCAGGUGAGUGGGCAGUUUUGUUUUCCGUAUACAUAUAUACUUACCGUUUUCCCAGAAAUUGAAAAUGCAUGAAAUUAUGCUUUAAAUGCAAUGCAUAAAAUUAUAUGAAAAGUAUAUUGAGAUGUGAAUUGAAGAUGCCAUGCAUAAAAUUAUAUGCAAAGUAUAUAGAAAUGUGAAUCGAAUUGCCAUGCAUGAAAUGAUAUGAAAAGUAUGAAUUGAGAUAUGAUGCAUAUGAAUGAAUGGUGCGGCGGACGCACAGGUGAGUAUCAGGUGAGUAUUUAAUUACUGUUAUGAUGAUGUUGAUGUAUAUUGAGCUCAAAUCCUGCACCAUAGUUUAGUGCUUAUAGUAUUCACCGCAUCGCACGCUCGCCUUGGAUCCAAGUAGAUGCUGGUCGCACAGUCCACGCGGAGUGGGUGCGACGGGCCAGUCGAAGAGUGUUAGUGAGAUUUCGACUGGUGGGUGACCUUAGAUUAUGUGCACAGAUGAUUGAUGAGAAAGCACUAGAGCGUAACUUAUGUGCAGAAGGCCGUACAGGUCACAGAGGUGACUCCGGCAGAGUGAUAGUGAUAGAUUUUGAGCUCUAGAUUCAACCGUACAGGGCUAUUAGAGGGCCUCCGGUUGAUUACUUUCUUGCACCUGAUAUGAUUAUUGUUGAUGCAUCCAUACUUAAACUGUUGAAUUAGACAUGGCAUGGCAUGAUUGAUAAAGAAAAAUGUUGAGAUAGUAAAAAUGAAGUUUUGAGAAUAUAUAUGUAUAUUUAUAUUUUACAUUUCUGGGAAAGUAUACAGGUUUUACGGAGAGGGGUUACAACGUUUUGAGAAAUGUUUGGAUUUGGAGAAGAAUUGUUUUACUGACCCACUCAAUUUUGGUUUUGCGCCCCUCCAGGUUCAGGAAUCACAAAGGUGUGGUGACUACGAGGAAUUCGACGGUGUUCUGACAGAAUGGACAAAAUUAGGACUCACCUUCGGGUGUAUCAACUUAUAAAUUGUAUCUUAAAGCUUCCGUACUGUGCAAAUGGUUACGUCACUCUCACGUGACGGCCAGCAUGCCCUCCUUUGGGACGGGGUGUGUCAU